CAGAGAUCAUGCCCUCACGGGUAGACCUCCCACCCUGUGUUAUUUACUCUUGUUGCUUUGGCAGGCCGCCUCCGGGCUCUCGGCUGUAGCUGAGAUGCGCCUGCCAGAGGACCCCAACUCUGUGUUUAGUGUUGUCUGAGCAUUAUAUAAUAAGUUA
rnacentral:misc_RNA from 1 species